GGGUGAAUUGUGUUCCUGGACAGGAGUACCAUGCUGUUUAUAAAAAGUUUGAAAUAUCUAAGAAGGAUUUUGAUGUCCAUGUCAAGGAUUGGCUACGAAAUUCGAAGCAAAGAAGAAUAAGGGAGGAAAGUAAAGGGGAAAAAAAUAAUAUACUUCCAACUUUAGAUGUUUAAGGGCUGCCGUUAACUUAGACUUAUGACGUAAGCGGCUGGUUGACAUUCCCUUAAUUUAUGCCGUUAACCUGAUCGGAUAUAUAUUUAUAUUUUACGGAUAUGGAAAAAUUUUUGUAUUUGAUAGCUUUGAAGGCAGUAAACGUCUUUCUUUUAUUUUAUUUCAACAACAGCAAACUUAUUUGACUUUUAGAUUCAUUAUAUACUUAUCAAAGUGGUCUUUAAAUCCAAGAAAAGAUGUAAAUUCAAUAUAAUGUACAGGGUGCUCCACUUUAAAUAAUAACGUUAUGGAGCAUCCUAUAUAAUCUAAAAUGUGAGAAAUUUGAUCUGGUGCAAACUUUUUUUAAAAACACUUGUUUAUUAGGUUAACCGUAAGUGAGCUGAACUUUGUUACACUAAUGGGUCACUCUGUAUAUGAAUAUAUUUUUCCUUUAAAAUA